UAACGCGUGGGCAACCUGCCCCAUACAGGGGGAUAACAGCCGGAAACGGCUGCUAAAACCGCAUAAGCGCACAAGGGCCGCAUGGCCUGGUGUGAAAAACUCCGGUGGUAUGGGAUGGGCCCGCGUCUGAUUAGCUAGUUGGCGGGGGAGAGGCCCACCAAGGCGACGAUCAGUAGCCGACCUGAGAGGGUGGCCGGCCACAUUGGGACUGAGACACGGCCCAAACUCCUACGGGAGGCAGCAGUGGGGAAUAUUGCACAAUGGGGGAAACCCUGAUGCAGCGACGCCGCGUGAGCGAAGAAGUAUUUCGGUAUGUAAAGCUCUAUCAGCAGGGAAGAAAAAUGACGGUACCUGAGUAAGAAGCACCGGCUAAAUACGUGCCAGCAGCCGCGGUAAUACGUAUGGUGCAAGCGUUAUCCGGAUUUACUGGGUGUAAAGGGAGCGCAGGCGGUGCGGCAAGUCUGGUGUGAAAGCCCGGGGCUCAACCCCGGGACUGCAUUGGAAACUACCGAACUAGAGUGUCGGAGAGGUAAGUGGAAUUCCUAGUGUAGCGGUGAAAUGCGUAGAUAUUAGGAGGAACACCAGUGGCGAAGGCGGCUUACUGGACGAUAACUGACGCUGAGGCUCGAAAGCGUGGGGAGCAAACAGGAUUAGAUACCCUGGUAGU
rnacentral:rRNA from 1 species